GACGUAGGGUGCCAGCGUUGUUCGGAAUUACUGGGUGUAAAGGGUUCGUAGGCGGUGUGGCAAGUCGGGAGUGAAAUCUCUGGGCUCAACCCAGAGUCUGCUUCCGAAACUGCUGUGCUUGAGUGUGGGAGAGGCGCGUGGAAUUGCAGGUGUAGCGGUGAAAUGCGUAGAUAUCUGCAGGAACACCCGUGGCGAAAGCGGCGCGCUGGACCACUACUGACGCUGAGGAACGAAAGCUAGGGGAGCAAACAGG
rnacentral:rRNA from 1 species